AAAAAUGUGAACUGAAUUUGCCUCUGCUCUGCUUUUAGAGGCACAAGGGUAUGCUUUCACAUGAGUAGACAUGCUAUCUAUGCCACGCAAGCUAUGUUAGUUUGAAUUGACUCAGACUACAUGAAUCCAAACUAGUGUGCUGCAUUCAACGCCUCUGAGAUUUAUUUGGAGUAAAAGAUCUGUGUCAGUCUAUGCACCAGAGCUCUUUUUCUUUCUCUUCCUUCACUCUUCAUGCACAUUUCAAGCUCUAUGGAAAAAUCUUAUGACAACUGUGAAACUGAACUUACAUUACCUCAACUGACCGGACCCAUUGCAGACUCUGAGAUGGAAUGUAUGCAUCACUCUUUGCCAAUUCAGAGGUUAUUUAAUAUGGACACUUUCAGCUCAGCCAACUACAUCCAGUAUGUCCUGUGGCCAGGAAGAAAAGGAAAUUUCUUAAACUAUAUGAAGAAGUACCAUCUCUAAAGAAGUAACACAGCUUGACAUGUGUGAUGAGCCACCCCAACAAAUUUUGUAUUGUAAUGUCUGUUGUUCCCAGGAGCCAUGGCAGAUGGUUAAACUGCUUCAUCUAUGUCUGGAUUGUAGUGCAAUAUAGGCAUGCACAAUGUCUUAAGCUGUUUUUUUGGUCAACAAAGAAAAAAUAUAUUCCACUUUUGAAUUAUUUGAUUUUUACCAUGUUGUACACAUUUUCACUAUAUUAAAAAGAUGCAUAAAACAGGAAAAUUAUUUAAUAAUUUUAUACAAAGAGACCUCAAUAUAACAUAAUUUAAAGUAAACAUGCUUUUCAUCUUCAAAGUUUCCUCUCCAGGUAUUUCAUGAUAAAUUGUAAAAAACAAAUAAACAAAUAAAAAAAUAAAUCUGCUUCUUUUGGGAAGAUGUGUUCAUAAAAACAAACUAAUAACCUAGUAAGGUAUAAUAUAUAUCAUGAAACAACUGAUACUCACAGGUGGAAAUCUUCAUAAAAAUGACAUACACUUUUGUUUGACAAAUAUUUUAUUGCAUGUCUCACAGCUAUUAAAUAAUUCCCAGUUUAAUUUUUGUUGUGUCCUAAACAGUCAAUAGUAAAGAUUUUAUUCCCUAGGUCUCAUAUUUUCACCUAUACUCACAAAGCAAACUUUAUCUAUACUCACAUAGAAAACAUUUUUUUCUGUUGUUUCUUUUUCUAUUUUAUAUGCAGAACCUAGUAACUUUUUACCCUGAGGCUCAGUCUUAGGAUAUAUGGAGACAAACAUUCAAGUAAUCAGAAACAUAGUGUGUAUAUCCCACCCUCUCUUGUAGUCUAUAUAACUGAAAUGCUAGAGUAAGCUAAUAGUGAUGCAGCUAAGAGCGCACUUUUUAUCUCUUUCCACAUGCUCAAAAUGAGUUCCCUAGGUUAAUUCUGGGCAAUCAACCAGAAUUGUAUUGUUUCCCUUUAAAGGUCCUAAAAUCAUAAAGAAUUACCUGAACAUGUCAUAGGUAGAUUAAUCAGAUAUCAGAAUGGUAUAUCAGGGCACCUGCACUGAGACUGAGAAACAAAUUUACUGGGAGAGUUGCAAAGGCUAUAAGCUUUAUCAUCAAUACUAUUUGACGUUGCUCUCCUUUUGAGACUCUCCUUUGCUACUUGAUAGGGGAGUACUUCUUAUAGCUGAUGCUUUAAUGUUUUGUGAGUUUGUGUCAGAUAACAGACAACCUUGUUGAUGUCUCUCUGGUAUGCUCUGAUGGGCAGCCACACCUUCUUCUGGUCAGUGUAUCAGACUGUUUUGAACACUUAAGAGCCUCCAACUGGGAACCUCCAUGCCAUUCUGAUUCAUUUCUGGACCCUGAUCAGACAGAUGCAAGAAACAGAAACACAGCUUUUUACUGCAGGGUCAUUCCAAGCAUGUACGAAAGCAUCUGGAGAACUUUCAGGUCAAAAUGGUAUGCUCCUUUGUAGACUAAGUGACUGAACAAGGCCUUACUGAACUACAGUGUUGAACAGACACAUGACUUCUGCUCUGGUCAUAAUUUUCAACUUAUUAGAGAAGCUGAAAUAAACCUAAUAGAUUAUAUAGAGUAAGUAUAAACAAAAAAGUUUUCAGAGGCAAAAUACUUGGUCAACAAUUUAAAAUUCAUGGGAAUGCUUCCAUUGAUUUCAACAGAGAUAAAAUUACCAAAUAAGUAACAAAAUAACAUGAAUCUUGGAAGUGACCUUUGUCUGCAAUUAAUUAUAAACAGUAGUAAAAUGCAUAUGGCAAGAAACUGACCUUUUUCUAUUUAUUCUUAAUAUACCUCUGCAGCACCUGACCACCUUUCUCUAAUGUGGUAUGAUUAAACGUUUAUCAAAUUGUGGUUCCAUGGUUACUAAGUUUAUUUAUUACUACUUCAUUUCUGAAUAUAACUAUAGUCUGAAAGAAGACUGGCACACGACACCAGUUAGAUUACACAAAAAUAUGUAACGUC
rnacentral:lncRNA from 1 species